rnacentral:tRNA from 1 species
GGAGAGAUGGCUCGGUGGUUAAGAGCACUGACUGCUCUUGCAGGGGUCCUGAGAUCAAUUCCCAGCCGCCACA